UGCGUAGGCGGCUUUUUUAAGUUUGGUGUGAAAUCUCCCGGCUCAACCGGGAGGGUGCGCCGAAUACUGAGAGGCUAGAGUGUGGGAGAGGAAAGUGGAAUUCCUGGUGUAGCGGUGAAAUGCGUAGAUAUCAGGAGGAACACCGGUGGUGUAAACGGCUUUCUGGACCAUAACUGACGCUGAGGCACGAAAGCGUGGGUAGCAAACAGGAUUAGAUACCCUGGUAGUCCACGCCCUAAACGAUGCAUAUUUGGUGUGGGCCAUUCACUUGGUCCGUGCCGGAGCUAACGCGUUAAAUAUGCCGCCUGGGGAGUACAGUCGCAAGGCUGAA
rnacentral:rRNA from 1 species